UACGGAGGGUGCGAGCGUUGUCCGGAAUCAUUGGGCGUAAAGGGCGCGUAGGUGGCGGGACAAGCGUGCGGUGAAAGCCUGGGGCUCAACCCCGGGUCGGCCGUGCGAACUGUUUUGCUUGAGCACUGUAGAGGCAGGCGGAAUUCCGGGUGUAGCGGUGGAAUGCGUAGAGAUCCGGAAGAACACCGGUGGCGAAGGCGGCCUGCUGGGCAGUAGCUGACACUGAGGCGCGAAAGCGUGGGGAGCGAACAGG
rnacentral:rRNA from 1 species